rnacentral:tRNA from 1 species
UGUCAGAUAGCUUAGUUGGUAGAGCACCUGACUAGAGUUUCAGCGGGCCUAGGUUCGAAUCCUGGUCUGGUUC